GUUUGUGUGCUAUAAUAUUAUUGCAGAAAAGUUAAUGACGGUUGGCAAAUCCAAUCACAAAGAGGUGGUCGCCUAUGAAAGACGUCCAAAAUCUAAGUGAAGGGAGGUGCCUGUUUGUCCGUUGCUGAGGCAAUCACACUGAUGUUAGCAUUUGGCAGUUUCGUACUGUCACUUGUGAACACCUU
rnacentral:snRNA from 1 species